rnacentral:rRNA from 1 species
CCUACGGGUGGCAGCAGUAGGGAAUUUUGGACAAUGGGGGCAACCCUGAUCCAGCAAUGCCGCGUGAGUGAAGAAGGCCUUAGGGUUGUAAAGCUCUUUUACUGAUGAAGAUGAUGACGGUAAUCAGAGAAUAAGUUCCGGCAAACUUCGUGCCAGCAGCCGCGGUAAUACGAAGGGGACUAGCGUUGUUCGGAAUCACUGGGCGUAAAGAGUGAGUAGGUGGUUAAAUAAGUCAGAUGUGAAAUCCUUGAUCUUAAGUUAAGAAUGGCAUUUGAAACUAUAUAACUUGAGUACAGUAGGGGACAGUAGAAUUCCAAGUGUAGAGGUGAAAUUCGUAGAUAUUUGGAGGAAUACCAGGAGCGAAGGCGUCUGUCUGGGCUGUAACUGACACUGAGUCACGAAAGCGUGGGGAGCAAACAGGAUUAGAUACCCUAGUAGUC